AAGUGAAAGAGGACAUUUUGCUCAACAACUUUCACCACAACAAUAUACUCAGUUGGUGCAGAUGUUUAGUCAACUCCAGGAUGGACAGACAGGAAAUUCUGCAGUCACAGCAAACUCAGCUGCUGGACCCUCCACAAGUUUUUGGUGAAGUCAAUCAAGGUCUCUACACUUUGAAGUCACUCCACUCCAGCCUAAGAGUCUACCUAAAGAUUUAGUAAUUUCAUUACCUAAGAGUUAUGUUUCUAGCUCAGUUUCAACUUCUGUUUCUGUUCCUAUUUCAAUUAAAACACCUUCUGAUGUAAUGUUAUGGCAUGUAAGGUUGGAGCAUAUGCCUUUUAAUGGAAUGAAACAUAUUAGUUCUAUCUCUU